UGGAUUCACAGCUCCUGCCUGCUGAGAGUGGUCAUGGUCAGGAGCGGCGGCUGCUCUGCAGUCCCCCUACUCCCCCUUGGCCUGCCACCUGCAGAGGCUGCCGGCUGGAGAGACAAGGGACGGGGACGUGGGAACAGCGCUCUGCAAGACCCCACUCCAUCCACACCGGCUGGGUCACCCAUUGACCUACACCUGUGUGACAUGCGUGUGUGGGAGCUUGCGGUGGUCAUGUGACAUCAGGAGAACCCAGGGGAGGAGGCACAGGAAGCAGUGGGUGCUGCGGCACAAUAUGAACAUUCAGUGCCAGACAAGAAACAAAAGGCCCAGCCACCCAGGGGUCAGAGUUCCAUGUGUGACCAGUUGUCACAGGUGCCUCUUGCAAGAGCCGGGCAAAGCCCUCAGGGAGUUGAGCAGAGGCCCAGACUGAUGAUGAUAUUUUAAUAAUGAAUCAUUAUUAAUCAUUCUAAUUACUAAACAAAAUAUAUUCGUAUUUGGUUAACUAUUAAAAUACUAAUGUUGGCACUUCAGAAUUAAUGGCUCAGAAUGAUUAUGAUGGUCGUUGUAAUAACACUAUGCUGAAGGGAUUUUUUUGCCAAUAGGUAAAUCAGAAAGCAAAUGAGGUAUACAACUGUGAUUUCAGGACUGAUAUGUGAUGACAACAAAA
rnacentral:lncRNA from 1 species